UGGUGGAGUGAUUUGUCUGGUUAAUUCCGUUAACGAACGAGACCUUAUCCUGCUAAAUAGCUGCUAGAAGUUUUCACUUCUACGGCAGCUUCUUAGAGGGACUAUUGAUGUUUAAUCAAUGGAAGUUUGAGGCAAUAACA
rnacentral:rRNA from 1 species